rnacentral:misc_RNA from 1 species
GGUGCACACAGCUACAUGUGACGACGCUGCGUGAAGCCAUAGCGAUAUAUUAAGCUAACUUAUAGUCGUGAAAUACGUAAAACUGUAAGUCGAACAAACGGACGCUGGAUCAGGCAAUUCCUGUUGCCAUGGCAUUGAGAGGAAAGGUUGCGCUCAUUACAGGUUCCAGUUCAGGAAUUGGAGCAGGAAUUGCAGCAGUGUUUGCGAGAGAAGGCGCCAAACUCUCAUUGACAGGCAGGAACCAGAAGGGUUUGGAGGGAGUGGUUAAGAAGUGCAAGACGGAAGCAUCUAACGAUGUUCUCACAAACGUGGGCGACAUUACACAGGAUGCUUUCAGAAAGACUCUGGUGGAAGCAACCAGGAAGAAGUUCGGGAAAAUAGACAUUCUUGUGAACAAUGCUGGGAUCGAAGGUGCAAGUCCGCUGCAAUCAGUGACCAAAGAGCUGUACGACAGAAUCAUGGCCAUUCACGUGGAGACACCUGUGUUUUUGACACAGUUAGUUGCACCGCAUUUGAUUGAAUCUAAAGGAUGUGUGGUUAAUAUUUCAACCUGCGGCACGAGUACAAUUGUUCCGGGAGUGGGUAUCUACGUCAUGUCAAAGGCGGCCUUGGACACAUUCACAAGAUACCUUGCACAUGAAAUGGUUUCACUCGGAGUACGCGUGAAUGCAGUCAACCCAGGUUACAUACCCACUCAAAUAUUAUCUCGCAACUUAUCGAAAGAAGAUUUGGCCAAGAUGGAGAGUGCCGUGACUAAAGCAACGCCAGUUGGUCGGUUGGGUACCGUAGAAGAAAUUGGCCACAUUGUUGCCUUCCUAGCCUCAGAGAAAGCAGCCUUUGUGACUGGAGAAUGUUUCAGGUCCGAUGAGAUACCACGCAGGCAAGAUUAAGGCGCUGGCGGUACACAAUGUGCGGUGCUCAAUCAGGUUUGAUGUCAAGGUUACACAACGACAGAGUGUUCUUACUCCCAGUACAUGCAAGAGUGCACAUAGCUGCAUGUGACUACGCCGGAUGAAGACGUAGCGAUAUAUUAAGCUAACCCAUAGUCGUGGAAUACGUAAAACAGCCGCUGGAUCAGUGAAUUCCGGUUGCCAUGGCAUUGAGAGGAAAAGUUGCGCUCGUCACAGGUUCCAGUUCAGGAAUUGGGGCACGAAUUGCAACAGUACUUGCGAGAGAAGGAGCCAAACUGUCACUGACUGGCAGGAACGAGAAGAAUUUGGAGGAAGUGGCCAAGAACUGCAAGACGGAAGCUUCUGACGAUGUUCUCAUAAACGUAGGUGACAUCACACAGGAUGCUUUCAGAAAGACUCUGGUGGAAGCACCAGGAAGAAGUUCGGGAAAAUAGACAUUCUGGUGAACAAUGCUGGGAUCGCAGGUCCA